ensembl:lncRNA
GGGGGAAAUGACACUUGCAUGUUGUGAAGACGUGUAGAAUUUCAGUAGAUUAUAUACUGUGAAAUCUGAUGAUAUUACGACGGAUGCUUUCAAUUCUACAUUAAAACUGAGCGUAUUGUUUAGAUCUGGAUGAAAAUGAGCUGUCGAAUUCCCACUCUAGAUCUGAUCCAGCCGAAGGAAGUGAAGGUGUGAGCAAGUCUAAUCUAACGCUGACGGAUCCCUGUCGAGCUGCGUCGUCCGUUCUCAUGGACUUAGCAAAUCAGACAAAAAGCAAAUCCGAGCGUCGGGUAGAACUGAGGGACUUUCUCCGUUUUCUCUCGGGGAAGGGAUUGAAAGUUUCAGAGGGACAGUAGAGCAGGACGUACACGUUUCUUCUCACAAAUAAACCCCACAAACGUGUAAGUGUGUCUCUAACCUUGCGUCAGAGACUCGGGCAUGAGACGGGAGUUUAUAUUGUUUUAUCUUCAUCGGGAUCUUUACAGCAUUAACAUCACCGCAGACAGAAAGACCAGGUGUAGAGCGUUUCACAGACCUGUCGCUUCAUGACGUUAAAACACAACCUGAUUGAACAAACACACUCCUGGUUACAUCAUUAACGGAACAGGAAGUGUGUGAGUGUGUGUGCGUGUGUGCGUGUGUGUGCGUGUCUUGACUCAAAUCUGCAUUUUGGAAAAGGUGCUGUAGGAGCGUAAAAGUUAACAGAAGCAGCGUCCUCCAGAACACACACACACACACACACACACACACACACACACACACACACACACACACACACACCACACACACACACACACGUGCGUGCGUGCGUGUGUUUUCCUCGUCACACGGUUCAUCAGUGGUCCCACAGCAUAUGAGGAACUUCUUCCAUCACCUCCAGUGGAAACUCAAAUGAAACUCAAAUUCCUCUUUGGAUUUUUUCGGCUCGACAUUUGCAAAACAAAUCAUGUGGAGAAAAACCUCCUCACACAAGCAUUCUGAAAUGCGCACACUUGUAUAAAAUCUCCAGGCCACACCGCGGGGGCUAAGUGUACUCUGCGGAACCGUGGGAUUGCCAGCGUCUGCGUGAAAGAACCCAGUUCCAAACACGAAGUUGUAGUCGCAGGUAACACCGACAAAUCCACGGCAAAGCUACGUCAUGCGUCCAAAACACAGAACCGUUAAACCCUCUACGCAUGCCCAGAGUGCUCCCCUAUCAGAAAGGGUUCCCAGUAGAACCCUUGAUGACCCGGAUCUAACCCCUCCAGAAGCUGGAAGUGAAACUCCUGACAGGUUCUAGGUGUUGAGGAGACCGCAGGCAAUUAUGUGGUCACAAUUAAUACAUACGCUCUUAGAAGCAAGGGUUCUUCAAGGGGUUCUUUCGGAGACGUAAGAGGUCUUAUGAAAUUCUGACUGUAUUAAUUAUUCGCCAAGAGAACGAGCGUCGGAAGCUGGUCAUGACGAGCUAGCUAGCGUCAUCGAACUCGGCUUCACCCCCAGACGCAGCGUUAGCGCUGGUGGUGUUCGCACCGGGAGCGGUCUCGAAAGAACCCUUGGCAUCGGUCAGCGCUUCAUUAGCGUUAGCCACAGCGCUGGGUUCUCCUCCAUUCAUAUCAGUCGGUUUGAAAUAGCUCCGUAUCGCUAGCGUACAACGGCUAAUGCUGCUAUCGCUUUCGUUUCUUUCCCAUUGGUUUUUUUUUUUUUUUGUUUUCUCUCAGCUCUUUUUAAAAUUAGCCAGGGAUCUUCACACAAUUUGUAUUUGUAUCCUGUGUGUAGACGUAGACUCACGUCUGCGCUGCAUGUCUGCGUGACCUCGCCAGAAAAAAACAACAAAAACCUAAAAAAGGGGAGAUUAGGUGGAUUCAAAUUAAAUUGUUCACUUAAAGAACUGAAACAGGAAGUGAAGUGCGUUUCUGAUUGUUUGUCAGUAGACCUGACAGGACAGGGGACGGGAGACGGAACAGGUGACGGGUCACGCAGUUCGGGACCGGUUCAGUGGAAAUACUGAAUCAGAUCUGAUUAUUUUUUCCAGUGUGCUUUAAAAGUUUUAGGAGGGGAACAUGACCCUGGAGUGCUGUCUCAUUUCCCACUCGAACUUAUGCUGCUUUGUGGAAAGUGCCUGUGUGUGAUGAGAAAACCCGUCAUUAUGGGGUGUGUGUGUGUCUGUGUGUGUCUGUGUGUGUCUGUGUGUGUGUGUGUGUCUGUGUGUGUCUGUGUGUGUCUGUGUGUGUCUGUGUGUGUCUGUGUGUGUCUGUGUGUGUCUGUGUGUGUCUGUGUGUGUGCACAGGAGACAUCAUCUAAUGUUUACCGUUUAUGGGACAGCUGGACUGUGACUUCCUGUCUGUGUGUGUGUGAUUGUGGCGUAGAGACUGGAAGUGGGAUGGCGACAAACAUUCCUCUUUCACACGCUCACACACACACACACACACACGCACACAUAUACACACACACACACACACACACAACACACACAUGUGCAUGUGCACAUUCAGUGCAUGAGGCCACAGACUACUAAAACAUUUGUCUGUGGGUGGAUUUGAGACUGAAACCAGUGAUCCAGAUUGUCUUACCGUAACAAAUGUAAAAAAAAGUAAACAGGGGAAAAACCUGCACAUGUAACACACACACACACACACCACACACACACACACACACACACACACACACACACAUAUACAUACAAAUAUACAUACACACACACACACACACACACACACACACACACACACACAUACACACGUAUACACACACAUUAAGAGACAUUAAUUUUAUAAUGAAAUGUUUGUUUAUUAGCGUCAAAUCUCUUUUCUU